UACGAAGGGGGCUAGCGUUGUUCGGAUUUACUGGGCGUAAAGCGCGCGUAGGCGGAUUUUUAAGUCAGGGGUGAAAUCCUGGGGCUCAACCUCGGAACUGCCCUUGAUACUGGGAAUCUCGAGUUCGGGAGAGGUGAGUGGAACUGCGAGUGUAGAGGUGAAAUUCGUAGAUAUUCGCAAGAACACCAGUGGCGAAGGCGGCUCACUGGCCCGAUACUGACGCUGAGGCGCGAAAGCGUGGGGAGCAAACAGG
rnacentral:rRNA from 1 species